rnacentral:rRNA from 1 species
AAUCAACGCUGGCGGCGUGCCUAACACAUGCAAGUCGAACGAGAAGGUGACUUCGGUCACUGGAUAGUGGCGUCCGGGUGAGUAACACGUAGGUAAUCUACCUUCGGGUGGGAAUAACGUCUCGAAGAGACGCUAAUACCGCAUAAUGCAGCGGCACCUAAUAGGUGAUUAGUUGUUAAAGACGGGGAGUCUUCGGACCUCGCGCCUGAAGAGGAGCUCGCGGCAGAUUAGCUAGUUGGUGAGGUAA